AGGGAAUCUUCCGCAAUGGACGAAAGUCUGACGGAGCAACGCCGCGUGAGUGAUGAAGGUUUUCGGAUCGUAAAGCUCUGUUGCCAGGGAAGAACGUCCUGUGGAGUAACUGCUAACGGAGUGACGGUACCUGAGAAGAAAGCCCCGGCUAACUACGUGCCAGCAGCCGCGGUAAUACGUAGGGGGCGAGCGUUGUCCGGAAUUAUUGGGCGUAAAGCGCGCGCAGGCGGCUGUUUAAGUCUGGUGUUUAAUCCUGGGGCUCAACCCCGGGUCGCACUGGAAACUGGACAGCUUGAGUGCAGAAGAGGGGAGUGGAAUUCCACGUGUAGCGGUGAAAUGCGUAGAGAUGUGGAGGAACACCAGUGGCGAAGGCGACUCUCUGGGCUGUAACUGACGCUGAGGCGCGAAAGCGUGGGGAGCAAAC
rnacentral:rRNA from 1 species